CGAUUGGGGUUUUUCUCAAGCAUAUGAGAUUUUGUAAGAGUUGUGUUGGUGUGAGUAGGUCCCUUGAGGUUUUGAGAAUUUUGGUAGAAGCAUGAAAUUUUAUGGGGUUUGGAGAAGAAACUAAAUGGAUGGAUCAAAAGAAUUCUAUUCCAUUGAGGAAGAAACUAACAAACACCACGAACAAAAGGAUAAACAGCAGCUAAGAGGCUAAGAUGAGGAAAGGCCGAUGGACCAUGGAGGAAGACCCCAUCACGGUGGGAGAAAGAGAAGGAAGGGGAGGAAGAGAAUGGGUGGAGAAAAGAGUGGAGGAGAAAGGAGGAGGGAGAAAGAGCAGG
rnacentral:lncRNA from 1 species